rnacentral:tRNA from 1 species
AGGGAUGUGGCUCAUUCGUAGAGUUCUUGCUUGGAAAGCAUGAGGCCCUGGGUUCAAGUCCCAGCACCAUGA